GACGAACGCUGGCGGCGUGCUUAACACAUGCAAGUCGAGCGGAGCGGCGGACGGGUGAGUAACGCGUGAGUAACUGCCCCCCUCUCUGGGGUAACAGUUGAAAACGGGUGCUAAUACCGAAUAGCGGGGGAUGAGUGGCGGCCUAUCGGCUUGGUGGGGGGGUAGUGGCCUAACAAGGCGACGACGGGUAGCCGGCCUGAGAGGGCGGCCGGCCACAUGGGGCUGAGGUACGGCCCAAGCUCCUACGGGAGGCAGCAGUGGGGAAUAUUGCACAAUGGGGGAAACCCUGAUGCAGCAACGCGCGUGCGGGAUGAAGGCCUUCGGGUUGUAAACCGCUUGCAGCCAUGACGCGGUAGUGGCAGAAGAAGCACCGGCUAACUACGUGCCAGCAGCCGCGGUAAUAC
rnacentral:rRNA from 1 species